rnacentral:rRNA from 1 species
CCUGGCUCAGGACGAACGCUGGCGGCGUGCUUAACACAUGCAAGUCGAGCGGAAAGGCCACUUCGGUGGUACUCGAGCGGCGAACGGGUGAGUAACACGUGAGUAAUCUGCCCCUGGCUUUGGGAUAGCCACCGGAAACGGUGAUUAAUACCGGAUAUGACAUUUGACCGCAUGGUUGGGUGUGGAAAGUUUUUCGGCCAGGGAUGUGCUCGCGGCCUAUCAGCUUGAUGGUGAGGUAAUGGCUCACCAUGGCUUCGACGGGUAGCCGGCCUGAGAGGGUGACCGGUCACACUGGGACUGAGACACGGCCCAGACUCCUACGGGAGGCAGCAGUGGGGAAUAUUGGACAAUGGGCGGAAGCCUGAUCCAGCAACGCCGCGUGAGGGAUGACGGCCUUCGGGUUGUAAACCUCUUUCGGUGGGGACGAAGCGCAAGUGAC